rnacentral:rRNA from 1 species
UACGUAGGGUGCGAGCGUUGUCCGGAAUUAUUGGGCGUAAAGGGCUCGUAGGCGGUCUGUCACGUCGGGAGUGAAAACUCGGGGCUUAACCCCGAGCCUGCUUCCGAUACGGGCAGACUAGAGGUAUGCAGGGGAGAACGGAAUUCCUGGUGUAGCGGUGAAAUGCGCAGACAUCAGGAGGAACACCGGUGGCGAAGGCGGUUCUCUGGGCAUUACCUGACGCUGAGGAGCGAAAGUGUGGGGAGCGAACAGG